rnacentral:lncRNA from 1 species
GACAAUCGUGACUUCUACGUGGGGCGUCCUUUUGGUGGAUUGACUUUUGAACAAUUAUAAAAUAUAACAAAAUUCAAUAUCAUUUUAAUAUUCAAUACCUACUUUCAACAUUACAAUUUAUUUAAAAUCCAAAACAAAAAAAUAAUAAAUAUAUUACAAUUGACCCCAAAGACAAAAAAAUAAAAAACAACCUUAAAUCACUAACUACUAAAUUUUAAUCAUAAAACACUACAUCAU